UAUUGUACAAUGGGGGAAACCCUGAUGCAGCGACGCCGCGUGAGUGAAGAAGUAUUUCGGUAUGUAAAGCUCUAUCAGCAGGGAAGAAAAUGACGGUACCUGAUUAAGAAUCCCCGGCUAACUACGUGCCAGCAGCCGCUGUAAUACGUAGGGGGCAAGCGUUAUCCGGAUUUACUGUGUGUAAAGGGAGCGUAGACGGCAGCACAAGUCUGGAGUUAAAUGCCGGGGCUUAACCCCGGAACUGCUUUUGAAACUGUGCAGCUAGAGUGCAGGUGAGGUAAGUGGAAUUCCUAGUGUAGCGGUGAAAUGCGUAGAUAUUAGGAGGAACACCAGUGGCGAAGGCGGCUUACUGGACUGUAACUGACGUUGAGGCUCGAAAGCGUGGGGAGCAAACAGG
rnacentral:rRNA from 1 species